rnacentral:rRNA from 1 species
CAGCAGCCGCGGUAAUACGUAGGGGGCAAGCGUUGUCCGGAAUUAUUGGGCGUAAAGCGCGCGCAAGCGGUUCUUUAAGUCUGGUGUAUAAGUGCGGGGCUCAACCCCGUGAGGCACUGGAAACUGGGGAACUUGAGUGCAGAAGAGGAGAGCGGAAUUCCACGUGUAGCGGUGAAAUGCGUAGAGAUGUGGAGGAACACCAGUGGCGAAGGCGGCUCUCUGGACUGUAACUGACGCUGAGGCGCGAAAGCGAGGGGAGCAAACAGGAUUAGAUACCCCAGUAGUCCCUGUCUCUUAUACA